ensembl:ncRNA E03H12.27 ncRNA
GGUUUAACUUUCAAGAAAUGAUUCAGAAAUGUGAUUGGCAUUAGACGGACACUUCCAGGAAGGAUUCUAGGAGACUGCACGGAGAUGUUUCGAAUUAACGAAGACUUCAUAAAUCUGACUUUUUUGAA